rnacentral:rRNA from 1 species
AUUCCAGCUCCAAUAGCGUAUAUUAAAGUUGUUGCAGUUAAAAAGCUCGUAGUUGGAUUUCUGGGCUGAGCGACCGGUCCGCCGCUGUGCGGUGUGUACUCGUGUUCGACUCGGCUCAUCCUUGUGGGGAAACGCAUUUCGGCAUUAGGUUGUCGAGGCGGGGAACCGCAUCGUUUACUGUGAAAAAAUUAGAGUGUUUAAAGCAGGCAAAUUGCUGUGAAUACAUUAGCAUGGAAUAAUAACAUAGGACUUUGGUUCUAUUUUGUUGGUUGGAGGCCAAGGUAAUGAUUAAUAGGGAUAGUUGGGGGUAUUCAUAUUUAAUUGUCAGAGGUGAAAUUCUUGGAUUUAUGAAAGAUGAACUCAUGCGAAAGCAUUUACCAAGGAUGUUUUCAUUG